rnacentral:miRNA from 1 species
CUCAGUGCUCCGAGGACAGUGUAAGCUAGCUGCUAGCUUACACUGUCCUUGGAGCACUUGCU